rnacentral:rRNA from 1 species
UACGUAGGGUGCAAGCGUUAUUCGGAUUUAUUGGGCGUAAAGCGCAUGCAGGCGGUCAGGUUAGUCUGAUGUGAAAGCCCUCGACUUAAUCGAGGAAGUGCAUUGGAUACUGCCAGACUAGAGUGCAGGAGGGGUGAGCGGAAUUCCAGGUGUAGAGGUGAAAUUCGUAGAUAUCUGGAGGAACAACAGCGGCGAAGGCGGCUCACUGGACUGUAACUGACGCUCAGAUGCGAUAGCGUGGGGAGCAAACAGG